CCCCAGACUCCUACGGGAGGCAGCAGUGAGGAAUAUUGGUCAAUGGGCGAGAGCCUGAACCAGCCAAGUCGCGUGAAGGAUGACGGCCCUACGGGUUGUAAACUUCUUUUGUCAGGGAGCAAUUGGGUCCACGCGUGGGCUUAGCGAGAGUACCUGAAGAAAAAGCAUCGGCUAACUCCGUGCCAGCAGCCGCGGUAAUACGGAGGAUGCGAGCGUUAUCCGGAUUUAUUGGGUUUAAAGGGUGCGUAGGCGGAAUAUCAAGUCAGCGGUAAAAAUUCGGGGCUCAACCCCGUCGUGCCGUUGAAACUGGCGAACUCGAGAGGGAGAGAAGUAGGCGGAAUGCGCAGUGUAGCGGUGAAAUGCAUAGAUAUUGCGCAGAACUCCGAUUGCGAAGGCAGCCUACCGGCUCCUGUCUGACGCUGAGGCACGAAAGCGUGGGUAUCGAACAGGAUUAGAUACCCGUGUA
rnacentral:rRNA from 1 species